UACGGGGGGGGCAAGCGUUGUUCGGAAUUACUGGGCGUAAAGGGCUCGUAGGCGGCCAACUAAGUCAGACGUGAAAUCCCUCGGCUCAACCGUGGAAGUGCAUCCGAAACUGCAUGGCUGGAGUCUCGGAGAGGAAGGUGGAAUGCUUGGUGUAGAGGUGAAAUUCGUAGAUAUCAAGCAGAACACCUGCGGCGAAGGCGGCCUUCUGGACGAUGACUGACGCUGAGACGCGAAAGCGUGGGGAGCAAACAGG
rnacentral:rRNA from 1 species